rnacentral:rRNA from 1 species
GCAGUGUACCCGCGGCAAGACGGAAAGACCCCGUGAACCUUUACUAUAGCUUGACACUGAACACUGGUCCUUGAUGUGUAGGAUAGGUGGGAGGCUUUGAAGCGUGGACGCCAGUCUGCGUGGAGCCGCCCUUGAAAUACCACCCUUUAAUGGCUGGUGUUCUAACGUAGACCCGUAAUCCGGGUUGCGGACAGUGUCUGGUGGGUAGUUUGACUGGGGCGGUCUCCUCCCAAAGAGUAACGGAGGAGCACGAAGG